rnacentral:rRNA from 7 species
UCUGGCGGCAGUAGCGCGGUGGUCCCACCUGACCCCAUGCCGAACUCAGAAGUGAAACGCCGUAGCGCCGAUGGUAGUGUGGGGUUUCCCCAUGCGAGAGUAGGGAACUGCCAGAC